GACGAACGCUGGCGGCGUGCUUAACACAUGCAAGUCGAACGAUAACGCCCAGCUUGCUGGGUGGCUUAGUGGCGAACGGGGGAGUAACACGUGUGUAUACUGCCCUUGACCCUGGGAUAAGCGUUGGAAACGGUGGCUAAUAUAGGGUACAAGAUUUCACGGCACAGGGUGUUGCUGGGAAGAAUUUCGGUGAUGGUUGGGCUCGCGGCCUCUAAGGUAGUGUGUGAGGGAUCGGCUCACCAAGCCGACGGCGGGUAGCCGGCCUGGGCGGGGGACCGGCCACACUGGGACUGAGAUGCGGCCCAGACUCCUACGGGAGGCAGCAGUGGGGAAUAUUGCACAAUGGGCGGAAGCCUGAUGCAGCAACGCCGCGUGGGGGACGACGGCCUUCGGGUUGUAAACCACUUUUCGCUGAGAAGAAGCGAGAGUGACGGUACCAGCAGAAGAAGCACCGGCUAACUACGUG
rnacentral:rRNA from 1 species